GACGAACGCUGGCGGCGUGCCUAAUACAUGCAAGUAGAACGCUGAAGAGAGGAGCUUGCUCUUCUUGGAUGAGUUGCGAACGGGUGAGUAACGCGUAGGUAACCUGCCUGGUAGCGGGGGAUAACUAUUGGAAACGAUAGCUAAUACCGCAUAACAACAGUUGUUGCAUGACAGCUGUUUAAAAGAUGCAAUUGCAUCACUACCAGAUGGACCUGCGUUGUAUUAGCUAGUUGGUGAGGUAACGGCUCACCAAGGCGACGAUACAUAGCCGACCUGAGAGGGUGUUCGGCCACACUGGGACUGAGACACGGCCCAGACUCCUACGGGAGGCAGCAGUAGGGAAUCUUCGGCAAUGGGGGGAACCCUGACCGAGCAACGCCGCGUGAGUGAAGAAGGUUUUCGGAUCGUAAAGCUCUGUUGUAAGAGAAGAACGGGUGUGAGAGUGGAAAGUUCACACUGUGACGGUAUCUUACCAGAAAGGGACGGCUAACUACGUG
rnacentral:rRNA from 1 species